AGGACGAACGCUGGCGGCGUGCUUAACACAUGCAAGUCGAACGGAUCGCGGGCUUGCCCGUGGUUAGUGGCGAACGGGUGAGUAACACGUGGGUAACCUGCCUCCGACUCUGGGAUAACUCCGGGAAACCGGGGCUAAUACCGGAUAUGAUCUCAUGCCGCAUGGUGUGGGGUGGAAAGUUUUUCGGUCGGAGAUGGGCCCGCGGCCUAUCAGCUUGUUGGUGGGGUGAUGGCCUACCAAGGCGUCGACGGGUA
rnacentral:rRNA from 1 species